rnacentral:tRNA from 1 species
GGGAAGGUGGCUCAGUGGUAGAGUGCUUGCCUUGCAUGCAUGAGGCCCUGGGUUCAAUUCCUCAGCACCCA